GUCCGCCAGCCUCCCGAACCCGCCAAGGGUGCAACAGGAGGGGAGGCCAGCUCAGCCACAAGUGAGCAUGCCAGGGGGGAAGGGAGGCACCACAGCUAUAAAUGCCCAGGGGAGGGCCCCUGAAAGCCCGGGAAACUAUUAAACCCCUGAUUGGUGCACUCCUUCCCCCCCACCCAUGGGACAUACCACUAUAGUUACCAACAAGUUUUUACAGGCGGGGGAGGGGGCUAAAAAACAUUGCCUGUAUAUUUCUUAACCCCUUAACUGCUCACCAGUCAGGGGGCAAGCUAGUUAUGCACAGCUUGCCCCUCCAAACAUUAAACAAGAAUUGCAUCUGCUCCUAGGCUUAGGCUGGGAUUAAACACGAUUUAUGUGUGAUGUUUUUCAAAGCCCACAUUCAAAGCUUUAUUUUUGGUGGUUUCCCCCCCGCCGCCCCUUUCGAUAGACAUCUGCCCAGGGCAUGCUGGGAGUUGUAGUUUUGCAACAGAUGGACAGCCACAGGGGAUCAGUGGUGAUGUAUGUCAAUCUAGGACCAUGGUGUCUGAUCUUGAACUGGCAGCAGGAGCCACGACCACUUUAAAUCAGUGGCUGCCGGGAUGUCUGACGAGUGACAUCCUUCGCUCCAGACCACAACGUCAGGGAUGUCACUUGUCAGACGUCUUGGCAGCCAGCACUGCUCAUUGAGCCUGCCAGAGCCGCACUUAUCUGUGUAAGAAACCUAUGGGUCCAGGCUGUUGGGCCACCAAAUUAUAUUACAAAUACUGAGUGUCUGGUUAGGAGAAACAAGUAUUUUGCACCCACAGGGAGUAGCGCCAUUUUCAUUAAAAAAAAUGCCCCAAAUCCCUUAGAUAACAGUCAUACAGAAUAUAUUAGAAAGCUUUUUUGAUUUUCAGCCAAUCAGAGAGCAGCACUACUGAAAUAGAACUCUCAGGAGGUAACAGCGUGUCACACAUGUGAUGUCAUAACCAUUGUCCACCAGAGAGCAGCACUGAGCAGAUAUAACACUGCUCCUGCUCAUUCUUCAUCAGUGAGGGGCUGAUGCUGGACACUGUAGGGGCCGAGAAUGCAAAGUCACAUACACUACUGUGACUGAUAAUCCAUCUUUUGUUUUCCUAUCUUAGAUGCACUAUUUCCAGGAUGUGGAGUAGCAUUUCCGGACCUACAGCAAGACGUUGGAUGAAGACGUAGAUUUCCAGACCUAUUCCAGAAGAAUUUGGAUGAAGGCACAGCCCCUCGAAUCACGCACAUACACAGACACAUUUGCCCAAAUUCUAGAGGUAACCUCCUUUAGUAUGCCCAGAGGAAGGGCAAUACAGUAGCCAUGGAUUCCCUACAGGUUUCCUCCCCUCUGGAGGUUUUUCCUGUCCUGAGUAUUAGUUACUGUACGCUCUUUGUGAGUGAUGGAGGUUACAAAAAAUCCCCGACACAAACAUUUUUAUAUAUAAUAAAUAAAGUUCCCCUUUUUAAACCA